rnacentral:lncRNA from 1 species
AAGAACCAGAAUUGAAGCUCAAUCAUCUUGUGGCUGCAACUGUAACAAACGUGUGUCUAAUUGUAACUUCGUAAAUUGUAAGUUUUGGAUGAUUUGCAAUUUUAUAAUUCAGAAUUUCAGAUUUUCUGUUUUAUUUUGUAUUAGCUAGUGGGUGUCUUCGAUUUAUGAACAAAAAUUCAGUUCAAAAUUGAUAUAAGAAACCUUGUGUAUAAUAGAUAAUUAUUUUGUCUUUGUUUGAUUUUUGUUUAAAACAAGCAAAAAGAACACACGUUGACUAGAUCUAAAUUUUGUCUUUCUUCUAGUACUUAGUAUAUAUUUUAAUCGUUUUUUAUGAAUUGUUUAUUGUUCUAGGUGCUUCCACUUGGUUUUUGGCGACAACAAUCCUUGUUAAUUGUAAAUUGCCACCGCUCACUGCCUCGCCUUUGUUAAUCCAGGUGCUAUCUUUUAAUAAAAUACUUUUGAUCAUGGUUUUGUGUGGAAAUGACAAACUAAAGAAAAGAAAAAGAGAUGAAUUGUUUAUUCAAUCUCAAAGAGGGGCUAUGGAUAAAUUUAUUAAAAAACUAGGUGAUAAUGCUACCGUUUCUCAACAAACUGAAAACGUGAAUGAUUUAAAUGAUGGUUCCAAUAAUAAUGUUCCAAAUGCAUUUGAAAGUUUGAAUGUUCAUGAGCAAGAAACUUUUUCCUUGAGUAUCGAUAAUGAUCCUAAUAGAUUGAGUGAGCAUGAUAAUGUGUCAAAUGCAUCUUUACUUGAAAGUUUGAAUGGUCAUGAACAACAAAGAUUUCAUUUUGAUACUUUUGAUCCUAGAUAUUGGGAAAAUCUUGAUAAUAAAACGAGAGAUGAGUUAGUUGCGUGUGGACCUAUAUGAAUCAUGUGAUGAUGCCAUAACAAAAAGUGAAACGGAAAGUUUAGUAAAUUCACUUGAGAAUUAUGAGUUUUUACUUGGUAUGACUAUUUGGUAUGAAAUUUUGUUUGUCAUGAACACGGUAAGCAAGAGCUUACAAUCCAAAUCGAUAUGCAUUGAUAGUGCUAUAAAACAAUUAGAAGGUAUAAUCUUAUAUUUUGAAAAGUAUCGAGAUGAAGGGUUUAGUUCUUGUUUGAAAGUAGCUCAAGGUCUUGCUCAUGAUAUGAAUGUUGAUCCUAUAUUUCCAAGUAGGCGUCGUGUCUUUAGAAAAAAACACUUUGAUGAGAAUGAUCAUGAUGAAGAAGCAUUAUCGGUCGAAGAUGAUUUUAGAGUCAAUUAUUUUCUUGUUGUUGUGGAUAUGGCAAUUUCUUCGGUAAAGAAUAGAUUUGAACAAAUGAUGACUUUUAAAAGUGUAUUUGGAUUUUUGUUUGAUUCAUUGAAAUUAAAAUCACUUGAUGAAAGUGAAUUAAAAGAGCAUUGCAUUAAUUUUCACAAAACAUUUUCUCAUGAUAAUGUCUCGGAUGUUGAUUUUAAUGAUUUUUUUUCAGAAUUAAAAGUUUUGCAAAUGUGUUUAUCCCAAGUGUCAAUGACACCUAGUGAAGUGCUUGAGUUUGUAGAAAAUGUAGGUUGUUAUCCGAAUGUUUCAAUUGCUUAUCGAAUCCUAUUAACAACACCCGUGACGGUAGCUUCGGCCGAGAGAAGCUUCUCAAAAUUGAAGUUAUUAAAAAAUUAUAUGAGGUCCUCUAUGUCUUAACAAAGGUUGAAUGGUCUAGCUAUUCUAUGCAUUGAAAAAAGUUUGUUAGAAAGCAUAGACUUUGAAACUGUCAUUCAUGAGUUUGCGUCGACUAGAGCUCGUCAAAAUCGUUUCUUUAUUCCGAAAUAACUAUUGUGUUUUGUUUUGUUGUUUUAGAUCCAACGGAAGAAGGAUGCAUGAGAUAUGAUGCAAUAUAAAGGAAUGUGGUAGAUGAAGACAUGGAGCUUAAGACAUGAUUAUAUGAAAUGGUUUUUGUUUUUAGCAUGCUUGAAAAGGCCCUUUUUGUAAGU